rnacentral:lncRNA from 1 species
UGUUGACUGGAUCUGUAAGCAGGUAUCAGCUGUGAAGCAAAAAGUCACCUGCCUGUCUGGGUGCUCUAAUCAGGAAGCAGACAGGCUGGCCCUGGUGCAAAGCCUGGUGGGUGUUUUCCAAGGGAGUAGAGUCAAACUUUGCCUACACCAGUGCUUUCCAGCUUGAAAAUUAACCAUCUGGCCUGAAGAAAUUGGGAAAUCCGUGUGAAGCCGUGGACCAGGGUAGCCAGGGCUCCCCCAGCCCAGCUUUCCAUUGGAAAUGUGAGACUGUCCCUGGGGAAAAUGGGACCAAGCUGGGACUGCUGAACAGAUUGCUGCAGCAGAGCACUGCUGACCCAGUAUUUAUUUUUAAUUAAAUCCAGCCAAAUUUAAGGCCUAUGGUACAGAAUGUACGUCUUGCCCAGGAGGACAACCUUCAAGCUACUACGCGCAAGGAAGGAGGUUAUCAGGGGUGUUUUCCCUCGCUGCCAGAGGUUUGGCCACAGGGGUGAUGCUGUUCCUAAGCCCCAGAGGUUCCGUGUAACAUCUCCACCAGCAUUUUGGAGGAUUUGGACUGGAGGAGCUCCAGCAGGACUGAAGAACAGCAGCAGUUUUCAGGUGCUGGGCUUAAGCCGCUCACCCUAUUUUUACAGGGGAGGAAGAUGUUGGGCUCUGAACCAUACCAAAGACCAGCCGCCAUCUUAUGGCCAUCCAAUGAUGAUGUCACCAAGCUCUGGCCCAUAGGGCCGAAUGGUGGCUAUGGGGCAUCUUAUGCCUGACCCAGCCCCAGGGCACUCACUGACCUGCUUGGAGAAGGUGGAGAUGUUUGGAGAAGUUUGGAAGCGGGGAGGAGGUUGGACCGGCUGACCAGGAAGCCUCUGAGAUGCCCUCAGGUGUGAUGGGAGGGCUGAAGGCUAUGGGGAAUUUUACCCUCUUGCUGCAGGGC